GAUGAACGCUGGCGGCGUGCUUAACACAUGCAAGUCGAACGGAAAGGCUCCUGCUUGCAGGGGUACUCGAGUGACGAACGGGUAAGUAACCCGUGGGUGAUCUGCCCUACACUUCGGGAUAAGCCUGGGAAACUGGGUCUAAUACCGGAUCGGACGAUGGUUUGGAUGCCAUAGUGGAAAGUUUUUUGGGUGUGGGAUGGGCUCGCGGCCUAUCAGCUUGUGGGUGGGGUAAUGGCCUACCAAGGCGUCGACGGGUAGCCGUCCUGAGAGGGUGUACGCCCACAUUGGGACUGAGAUACGGCCCAGACUCCUACGGGAGGCAGCAGUGGGGAAUAUUGCACAAUAGGCGCAAGCCUGAUGAAGAGACGCCGCGUGGGGGAUGCCGGCCUUUGGGUUGUAAACAGCUUUCGCUUGAGACGAAGCGCAAGUGACGGUACCUGAAGAAGAAGCACCGGCUAACUACGUG
rnacentral:rRNA from 1 species